CGAAGGUCGAAGGUCCUAUAGCGUUCCCGUCACAAAAGCGGCAAUCGACCGUUUUAGACGAAUCCAACACCCAAUCUAGCAUUUUUCGGUCUUUUCUGACGAAGCUAGUGCCCAAUCUGUCGUUUUUCGAUGAAGCCGACGUAUUUUUCUGUCACAGCACCAGCGAUCGGCAAGCUUAGCGCCUCCAUCCGUGGUGGGUUCAUCUUUCGGUCGUUGCAGGUCACCGUCGGUUUGUCGGCUUUGCUGUCCGUGGGUCGAUUGUUGCUGCCAAUUGGUUUUUCCGCCCGCCUCGCCGGAGUUCAUCGUUGGGUGUGAAUGCUAGAUUCAAGUUGCUUUGAGGGAGUUGGUCGACCUAAGGGUUGUUUGUGGCGAUUCUAGCUUGGGUGUUUUGUCGGAGGCGUUGUGUUUGAAUCCAAAGCUUCGUACUAAGACAUGUGUGUCGAGUCUUACUGACUUAAGGGAAGGCCCCGUGAUUGUUAUUCAGACUUGAUUCAAG
rnacentral:misc_RNA from 1 species